rnacentral:rRNA from 1 species
GAUGAACGCUGGCGGCGUGCCUAACACAUGCGAGUCGAACGGAGUCGUUUUGGAAAUCUCUUCGGAGAUGGAAUUCUCGACUUAGUGGCGGACGGGUGAGUAACGCGUGAGCAAUCUGCCUUUAAGAGGGGGAUAACAGUCGGAAACGGCUGCUAAUACCGCAUAAAGCAUUAAAUUCGCAUGUUUUUGAUGCCAAAGGAGCAAUCCGCUUUUAGAUGAGCUCGCGUCUGAUUAGCUAGUUGGCGGGGUAACGGCCCACCAAGGCGACGAUCAGUAGCCGGACUGAGAGGUUGAACGGCCACAUUGGGACUGAGACACGGCCCAGACUCCUACGGGAGGCAGCAGUGGGAAAUAUUGCGCAAUGGGGGAAACCCUGACGCAGCAACGCCGCGUGAUUGAAGAAGGCCUUCGGGUUGUAAAGAUCUUUAAUCAGGGACGAAACAAAUGACGGUACCUGAAGAAUAAGCUCCGGCUAACUACGUG